rnacentral:rRNA from 1 species
GACGAACCGUGCGAACGUUGUUCGGAAUCACUGGGCUUAAAGGGCGCGUAGGCGGGCCGGUAAGUCCGGGGUGAAAUCCUGCAGCUCAACUGCAGAAGUGCCUCGGAUACUGCCGGCCUCGAGGGAGGUAGGGGCAUGUGGAACUUCCGGUGGAGCGGUGAAAUGCGUAGAUAUCUGGAGGAACACCGGUGGCGAAGGCGGCAUCCUGGACCGGCAUUGACGCUGAGGCGCGAAAGCCAGGGGAGCAAACGGG